rnacentral:piRNA from 1 species
UGGUUGGUCAUCGUCAUUGUCAGCCUCACU